rnacentral:rRNA from 1 species
GAUGAACGCUGGCGGCGUGCCUAAUACAUGCAAGUCGAGCGAACAGACGAGGAGCUUGCUCCUCUGACGUUAGCGGCGGACGGGUGAGUAACACGUGGAUAACCUACCUAUAAGACUGGGAUAACUUCGGGAAACCGGAGCUAAUACCGGAUAAUAUAUUGAACCGCAUGGUUCAAUAGUGAAAGACGGUUUUGCUGUUACUUAUAGAUGGAUCCGCGCCGCAUUAGCUAGUUGGUAAGGUAACGGCUUACCAAGGCAACGAUGCGUAGCCGACCUGAGAGGGUGAUCGGCCAAACUGGAACUGAGACACGGUCCAGACUCCUACGGGAGGCAGCAGUAGGGAAUCUUCCGCAAUGGGCGAAAGCCUGACGGAGAAACGCCGCGGGAGUGAUGAAGGUCUUCGGAUCGUAAAACUCUGUUAUUAGGGAAGAACAAAUGUGUAAGUAACUAUGCACGUCUUGACGGUACCUAAUCAGAAAGCCACGGCUAACUACGUG